rnacentral:rRNA from 1 species
CUACGGGUUGCUGCAGUUGAGAAUCUUUUGCAAUGCACGAAAGUGUGACAGAGCGAGCCAGAGUGUUUACCUUUUUUGAUAAACUUUUAUUAACUGUAAAAAAGUUGACGAAUAAGGACUGGGUAAGACCGGUGCCAGCCGCCGCGGUAAUCCCGGCGGUCCAAGUCGCAGCCACAAUUAUUGGGUCUAAAACAUCCGUAGCUUGUUUUGCAAGUCUCUUGUGAAAUCUCAUUUCUCAAAUAUGAGGCGGGCAAGAGAUACUGCAUUACUAGAGACAGGAGGGUGUAAGGAGUACGGUUGAGGUAGUGGUAAAAUACGUUGAUCUUAACUGGACUAACAACCGCGAAGGCACCUUACAAAUACUGUUCUGACAGUGAGGGAUGAAGGCUAGGGGCGCAAAACGGAUUAGAUACCCGAGUAGUC